GUCCAUGGUCAUUAAAUCAAGAGGUAUGGGUAUGUCCAUAUGUUCACAAUAAUGAUUUCGGAAACAAGUUUCGAAUAACUGGAAUAAAGUUCUUCAAUGGGGACACUCAGCUUGGCAGCGAAAGGUUACACAGGAUCGGCACUCGUCCUCCGCCAUUUGACACAUUUAGAAUUUCCUUAGUAUUUGACGUGAAUAGAAAAUCCUAAUUUGUCGUAAUUUGAAUUGUCGAUUAUACAUGUGGUUGUUUUGUUGGUGUGUUUCGUUUUUGUUAACUCUAUAGUCCGUCGGAAAUGAAUAACAGUAUUUUACAAUCCAAACAAUUGAGGCCCGUUUUACUGAGAUGAUAGAGGUUCCGUACUGGAAAGUUAUUGUAAAUCAAUACACGAGACUGGAUACAUGAACGUUCACAUACUUUAUUUUUCCAUCUAACAUAUAUACAAGCACAGUUCAUAAAGCAUAUUUACAAAACAGGAAGCAUGGCAACAUAUAUUAACCCGCCGCUGCUCGUAGAUCGAGAGCGGGGCGAACCGGUGCGUCACAUGGUUCUAUCUACUUCUCUCCCUUUUUCGUUUAAAAGU
rnacentral:lncRNA from 1 species